CAAUCAGUGGGGCUGGCGCUGCCCGGAGGGACAGGGGACACCGGGACCCCUGAGGGGACACCGGGACCCCCCCAAGGUGACACCGGGACCCCUGAGGGGACACCGGGACACCCCUGAGGGGACACCGAGACCCCCGAGGGGACACCAGGACCCCCCAUUCUGUGGGAUGGGGACACUGAGAGGGGACCUCAGCUCUGGGGGACACCGGCACCCCCAGCAGGGCGUCAGAGCAGCGAUGCCAGUGCCACACGGGCUGUGCUGGGGCUGGGGACAAGGGACACCCCUGUGGGGACAAGGGACACCCCUGUGGGGACCAGGGGACCCUUGGUGUCCCCCAGGUGCCACCUCCAGCCCCGUGCCAGGGCCGGUUCCCCCGGAGCUCUGGGGUUCAGAGCUGCCUUUUGGGGCGUUUUUAGGAUUUUUGCUGUUUUUGGCAGAUCCGGGUCAGUUUUUCCCCAAAGCACAUUCCUGCUUUUCCCUCUAUUCCCGAGUUUUCCCAGCCAGGCCAGCGUGGGAAUGCCAACACCUCCUCCUGCCGCUCCUCCCUGCGCUGGGAGAGGAGCGAUCCCAAAAAUCCUGGGAAUGCUGCAGGAAGGAUUUACGGAUUUAACUGGCAUUGAUCUGAGCCCCAGAUCGGGGCAGCCGAGCUCUUCAUCAUCAUCAUCAUCAUUGUCAUCAUCAUUGUCAUCAUCGUCAUCAUCAUUGUCAUCACUGUCAUUGUCAUCAUCGUCAUCAUCAUCAUCAUCAUCAUCAUCAUCAUUGUCAUCAUUAUCGUCAUCAUCAUCAUCGUCAUCAUCAUCGUCAUCAUUGUCAUUGUCAUCAUCAUCAUCAUCAUUGUCAUCAUCAUCAUUGUCAUCAUUAUCGUCAUCAUCAUCAUCGUCAUCAUCAUCGUCAUCAUUGUCAUUGUCAUCAUCAUCAUCGUCAUCAUCGUCAUCGUCAUUGUCAUCAUCGUCAUCAUCAUCAUCAUCAUCAUCAUUGUCAUCAUCGUCAUUAUCAUUAUCAUCAUUGUCAUCAUCAUUACUGUCAUCAUUAUCGUCAUCAUCAUCGUCAUCAUCAUCGUCAUCAUCAUCGUCAUCAUUGUCAUUGUCAUCAUCAUCAUUGUCAUCAUUAUCGUCAUCAUCAUCAUCGUCAUCAUCAUCGUCAUCAUUGUCAUUGUCAUCAUCAUCAUCGUCAUCAUCGUCAUCGUCAUCAUCAUCAUCGUCAUCAUCAUCAUCGUCAUCAUUGUCAUUGUCAUCAUCGUCAUCAUCAUCAUCAUUGUCAUCAUUGUCAUCAUCAUCAUCGUCAUCAUCAUUGUCAUCGUCAUUGUCAUCGUCAUCAUCAUCAUCGUCAUCAUUGUCAUCAUCAUCAUCGUCGUCAUCAUUAUCGUCAUCAUCAUCAUCGUCAUCAUCAUCAUCGUCAUUGUCAUCAUCGUCAUCGUCAUCAUUUCCCAUCUUCAUCCUCACAUCCUCAUCCCCAUCCCAUUCCCAUUCCCAUUCCCAUCCUCAUCCUCAUCCUCAUCCUCAUCCUCAUCCUCAUCCUCAUCCUCACCUUCAUCCUCAUCCUCAUCCCCAUCCUCAUCCUCAUCCUCAUCCUCAUCCUCAUCCUCAUCCCCAUCCUCAUCCUCAUCCUCAUCCUCAUCCUCAUCCUCAUCCUGCCCAUCUCCAUCCCCAUUCCCGUUCCCAUUCCCAAAUCCCAGCUCCCAAUUCCCGGAAUUCCAUCCCAUCCUUGCAUCCCGGGACCCCCGGAGCAGCCCCAGCAUUCCCGGAACGGUUCCUUUGGAUCAGGGAAUCCGGGAUGGGGGGAAGGCAAACGCUGACAAAUCCGA
rnacentral:lncRNA from 1 species